AACGAACGCUGGCGGCAUGCCUAAUACAUGCAAGUCGAACGAGACCUUCGGGUCUAGUGGCGCACGGGUGCGUAACGCGUGGGAACCUGCCCUUAGGUUCGGAAUAACUCUCCGACAGGGGUGCUAAUACCGGAUAAUGUCUUCGGACCAAAGAUUUAUUGCCUUUGGAUGGGCCCGCGUUGGAUUAGCUAGUUGGUAGGGUAAAAGCCUACCAAGGCGACGAUCCAUAGCUGGUCUGAGAGGAUGAUCAGCCACACUGGGACUGAGACACGGCCCAGACUCCUACGGGAAGCAGCAGUGGGGAAUAUUGGACCAUGGGCGAAAGCCUGAUCCAGCAAUGCCGCGUGAGUGAUGAAGGCCUUAGGGUUGUAAAGCUCUUUUACCCGGGAUGAUAAUGACGGUACCGGGAGAAUAAGCGCCGGCUAACUCCGUG
rnacentral:rRNA from 1 species